rnacentral:rRNA from 1 species
AUUGAACGCUGGCGGCAGGCCUAACACAUGCAAGUCGAACGAGUGGCGGACGGGUGAGUAAUGUCUGGGAAACUGCCUGAUGGAGGGGGAUAACUACUGGAAACGGUAGCUAAUACCGCAUACCAUCAGAUGUGCCCAGAUGGGAUUAGCUAGUUGGUGGGGUACCGGCUCACCAAGGCGACGAUCCCUAGCUGGUCUGAUCUGAUUACAAGCCAACAUGGAACUGAUACACGGUCCAGACGCCUACGGAAGGCAGCAGUGGGGAAUAGUGCACAAUGGGCGCAAGCCUGAUACAGCCAUGCCGCGUGUAUGAAUAAGGCCUUCGGGUUGUAAAGUACUUUCAGCGGGGAGGCGUUACCCGCAGAAUAAGCACCGGCUAACUCCGUGCCAGCAGCCGCGGUAAUAC